rnacentral:rRNA from 1 species
UACGUAGGGUGCAAGCGUUAAUCGGAAUUACUGGGCGUAAAGCGUGCGCAGGCGGUUUUGUAAGUCAGAUGUGAAAUCCCCGGGCUUAACCUGGGAACUGCGUUUGAAACUACAAAGCUAGAGUGUGGCAGAGGGGGGUGGAAUUCCACGUGUAGCAGUGAAAUGCGUAGAGAUGUGGAGGAACACCGAUGGCGAAGGCAGCCCCUGGGUUAACACUGACGCUCAGGCACGAAGCGU